rnacentral:rRNA from 1 species
AUUGAACGCUGGCGGCAUGCUUUACACAUGCAAGUCGAACGGCAGCACGGGGGCGAACCCUCGUGGCGAGUGGCGAACGGGUGAGUAACACAUCGGAACGUGCCCACGUUGUGGGGAGUAACCUAUCGAAAGGUAGGCUAAUACCGCAUGAGCUCGGCAAGAGGAAAGCGGGGGACGUCAGCGAUGGGCCUCGCGCGACUGGAGCGGCCGAUGUCCGAUUAGCUAGUUGGUGGGGU